GCAAUUCACUGGCAGGGAGCUUCGACUUGGCCCAUGUAAACCCCAGCUAGUGUCAUAUACCUCGCUCCCUUUCUUCUGGUAGUUGCACUUGGAACCUAAUCUGCAGAAUAUACAUAACGGCAAUCCAAGAACUUUUACUUUAGUGAAUGGUGAAAGAUGAUGAAGAGAUUCUGAAUUGUCAAGCACUUCCCUCAAGACGUAGAAAUAUGGCAAUGAAGAUGUCCACUGAAAUUUUGUGACAAAAAUCUCUUGCUUUGACAGAAGGUGAUUCUUCGCUACACAAUAUUGAGUUACAAAUUGAAAAAAAUAUGUUAAUUAACUGAAAAAAGGAAAGAAAAAUAGUACUGAAUGAAUUGCUACAUGAAUCUUUUCCAAGGGGAAAUUCUUCUCUCUCUGCUGUCUCUAUUCCAGCAAACUACAGAUUCCAAAAAAUUAUAAUUCCGCCUUUGAGGCCACCAUAUUAUCCAUCUAAAAGGAUGUCAAGAUUGAGACGUGGCCGUGCAGCUUGUGGCAUGGGGACAAGGAGUGGCUAAUCAUUGAAUUGUGAAUUCCACUACAAGAUGAUCACUUUCUCCAGAAUGGAAGUGACCAACGGCUACUCGUAUGCCAA
rnacentral:misc_RNA from 1 species